rnacentral:miRNA from 10 species
UAGGACUAUACGGUCCUUUCGGA